rnacentral:rRNA from 1 species
UACGAGGGGGGCUAGCGUUGUUCGGAAUUACUGGGCGUAAAGGGCGCGUAGGCGGUUUUGUCAGUCGGAAGUGAAAGCCCCCGGCUCAACCUGGGAACUGCUUUCGAUACUGCAAGACUUGAGUUCCGGAGAGGAUGGUGGAAUUCCCAGUGUAGAGGUGAAAUUCGUAGAUAUUGGGAAGAACACCGGUGGCGAAGGCGGCCAUCUGGACGGACACUGACGCUGAGGCGCGAAAGCGUGGGGAGCAAACAGG